UACGUAGGGUCCGAGCGUUGUCCGGAAUUAUUGGGCGUAAAGGGCUCGUAGGCGGUUUGUUGCGUCGGGUGUGAAAUCCUCCAGCUUAACUGGAGGCUUGCUUUCGAUACGGGCAGACUUGAGGUACUCAGGGGAGAAUGGAAUUCCUGGUGUAGCGGUGAAAUGCGCAGAUAUCAGGAGGAACACCGGUGGCGAAGGCGGUUCUCUGGGAGUUACCUGACGCUGAGGCGCGAAAGCGUGGGGAGCAAACAGG
rnacentral:rRNA from 1 species